CACGAGCGGAGCCGCUGUGCGAAGGAGCGCAGGCGGGAAAGGGCAAAGGCGAGGGAAGGCGCGAAUCCUAGCCAACUAAAGCCUCUGCGGAGGAGGGAGCCCCUCCCCCAAAUACGGUAGGACUAGGUACGAAUCAGUUAAUAGUAAGCUUAAGGAGGCUCCCUACAGUAGCAUGCGGGAUGUUCGCUGGACCAGUACGUGGGCUAUCCCACGCAACCGCGCACGAUCAGAACAAAACAAAAAUUGACCGGGCUCUUUUUUUAAACAAGCUAUUUCUGAAAGGUUUUUAAUGAAACAAAGCGUUGAAUAAUCCUUCGUUUUGAGUGCCAAAUCAAUUGCGAGUCUAUACAGCAAUUAUGCAUA